rnacentral:snoRNA from 1 species
GUUGAGGUCUAUCCCGGUUGGGCUUUUUCUGUAGCCAUACACCGUUGGAAACCCCUCAUAGAGUGACACUGUGGUUUUGCUUUCCUCACAGGACUAUUUGUUAGAUCUGUGAGAAGAAACUACCAGACAGUU